rnacentral:rRNA from 1 species
GACGAACGCUGGCGGCGUGCCUAAUACACGCAAGUCGAGCGCAGGAAGUUAUCUGAUCCUUUUCGGAGGUGACGAUAAUGGAAUGAGCGGCGGACGGGUGAGUAACACGUAGGCAACCUGCCUGUAAGACUGGGAUAACUCGUGGAAACGCGAGCUAAUACCGGAUAACACUUUUCAUCUCCUGAUGAGAAGUUGAAAGGCGGCUUUUGCUGUCACUUACAGAUGGGCCUGCGGCGCAUUAGCUAGUUGGUAAGGUAACGGCUUACCAAGGCGACGAUGCGUAGCCGGCCUGAGAGGGUGAUCGGCCACACUGGGACUGAGACACGGCCCAGACUCCUACGGGAGGCAGCAGUAGGGAAUCUUCCGCAAUGGACGAAAGUCUGACGGAGCAACGCCGCGUGAGUGAUGAAGGUUUUCGGAUCGUAAAACUCUGUUGUAAGGGAAGAACGACUUUAGUAGGAAAUGGCUAGAGUGUGACGGUACCUUAUGAGAAAGCCACGGCUAACUACGUGCCAGCCGCCGCAGUAA